rnacentral:rRNA from 1 species
UACGAAGGGGGCGAGCGUUGUUCGGAUUUACUGGGCGUAAAGGGCGCGUAGGCGGCCGCUCAAGUCGCGUGUGAAAGCCCCGGGCUCAACCUGGGAGGUGCGCGCGAGACUGGCCGGCUGGAGUUCGGGAGAGGAGCGUGGAAUUCCCAGUGUAGAGGUGAAAUUCGUAGAUAUCGUAAGGAAGACCAGUGGCGAAGGCGGGUCUCUGGACAGUUCCUGACGCUGAGGCACGAAGGCCAGGGGAGCAAACGGG